GAUGAACGCUAGCGGCAGGCCUAAUACAUGCAAGUCGAACGGUGUCUUCGGACAUAGUGGCGCACGGGUGCGUAACACGUAUGCAACCUACCUUACAUUGGGGGAUAGCCUUUCGAAAGGGAGAUUAAUACCGCAUAAGACAGUAGCUGGGCAUCCAGCAGCUGUUAAAGAUUUAUCGAUGUAAGCUGGGCAUGCGUCCAAUUAGCUAGUUGGUGAGGUAACGGCUCACCAAGGGAAUGAUUGGUAGGGGAACUGAGAGGUCAAUCCCCCACACUGGCACUGAGAUACGGGCCAGACUCCUACGGGAGGCAGCAGUAGGGAAUAUUGGGCAAUGGACGCAAGUCUGACCUAGCCAUGCCGCGUGCAGGAUGAAGGCGUUAUGCGUUGUAAACUGCUUUUAUACAGGAAGAAACGACUCUUGCGAGAGGCAUUGACGGUACUGUAUGAAUAAGCACCGGCUAACUCCGUGCCAGCCGCCGCAGUAAUAC
rnacentral:rRNA from 1 species